rnacentral:rRNA from 1 species
AGAGUUUGAUCCUGGCUCAGAACGAACGCUGGCGGCGGGCUAAUACAUGCAAGUCGAACGAGAAAUCCGGCUUCGGCUGGGUGGAGUAAAGUGGCGAACGGGUGAGUAACACGUGGGCAAUCUGCCCUUAAGUUUGGGAUAAGCCCUCGAAAGGGGGUCUAAUACCGGAUAAUAUCCGGAGAUGGCAUCUUUUCCGGAUCAAAGGCGGAGCAAUCUGCCGCUUAGGGAUGAGCCCGCGUCCCAUUAGCUUGUUGGUGAGGUAACGGCUCACCAAGGCUGUGAUGGGUAGCCGGCCUGAGAGGGUGAUCGGCCACACUGGGACUGAGAUACGGCCCAGACUCCUACGGGAGGCAGCAGUAGGGAAUAUUGCGCAAUGGACGAAAGUCUGACGCAGCCACGCCGCGUGGAUGAUGAAGCUUUUCGGAGUGUAAAAUCCUGUCAGUGGGGAAGAACCGGUCGGGGAGUAACUGCCCCGGCCCUGACGGUACCCGCAGAGGAAGUUCCGGCUAACUCCGUGCCAGCAGCCGCGGUAAUACGGGGGGAACAAGCGUUGUUCGGAUUCACUGGGCGUAAAGGGCGUGUAGGCGGAUUUGCAAGUCAGAUGUGAAAACCGGCGGCUCAACCACCGGCCUGCAUCUGAUACUGCUAAUCUUGAGUACGGUGGAGGAAAGUGGAAUUCCAGGUGUAGCGGUGACAUGCGUAGAUAUCUGGAAGAACACCGGUGGCGAAGGCGGCUUUCUGGACCGAUACUGACGCUGAGGCGCGAAAGCCAGGGGAGCAAACAGGAUUAGAUACCCUGGUAGUCCUGGCCGUAAACGAUGGGUACUAGGUGUUGGAGGUAUCGACCCCUUCAGUGCCGCAGCAAACGCAUUAAGUACCCCGCCUGGGGAGUACGAUCGCAAGGUUGAAACUCAAAUGAAUUGACGG